rnacentral:rRNA from 1 species
ACGCUCGACACCUACGGGAGGCAGCAGUGGGGAAUAUUGCACAAUGGGGGAAACCCUGAUGCAGCAACGCCGCGUGAAGGAAGACGGUUUUUCGGAUUGUAAACUUCUGUUCUUAGUGAAGAUAGUGACGGUAGCUAAGGAGCAAGCCACGGCUAACUACGUGCCAACAGCCGCGGUAAUCUGAGCGGGCUGGCAAGGC